rnacentral:rRNA from 1 species
AGUCGAGCGGUAGAGAGAAGCUUGCUUCUCUUGAGAGCGGCGGACGGGUGAGUAAUGCCUAGGAAUCUGCCUGGUAGUGGGGGAUAACGUUCGGAAACGGACGCUAAUACCGCAUACGUCCUACGGGAGAAAGCAGGGGACCUUCGGGCCUUGCGCUAUCAGAUGAGCCUAGGUCGGAUUAGCUAGUUGGUGGGGUAAUGGCUCACCAAGGCGACGAUCCGUAACUGGUCUGAGAGGAUGAUCAGUCACACUGGAACUGAGACACGGUCCAGACUCCUACGGGAGGCAGCAGUGGGGAAUAUUGGACAAUGGGCGAAAGCCUGAUCCAGCCAUGCCGCGUGUGUGAAGAAGGUCUUCGGAUUGUAAAGCACUUUAAGUUGGGAGGAAGGGUUGUAGAUUAAUACUCUGCAAUUUUGACGUUACCGACAGAAUAAGCACCGGCUAACUCUGUGCCAGCAGCCGCGGUAAUACAGAGGGUGCAAG